rnacentral:rRNA from 1 species
AACGAACGCUGGCGGCAGGCUUAACACAUGCAAGUCGAACGCGUGCAGCAAUGCACGAGUGGCGCACGGGUGAGUAACGCGUGGAUAUCUGCCUUUUGGUUCGGAAUAACCCCGGGAAACUGGGGCUAAUACCGGAUGGUUCCUACGGGAUAAAGAUUUAUCGCCAAAAGAUGAGUCCGCGUCCGAUUAGCUAGUUGGUGAGGUAAUGGCUCACCAAGGCGACGAUCGGUAGCUGGUCUGAGAGGACGAUCAGCCACACUGGGACUGAGACACGGCCCAGACUCCUACGGGAGGCAGCAGUGGGGAAUAUUGGACAAUGGGGGCGACCCUGAUCCAGCCAUGCCGCGUGAGUGAUGAAGGCCUUCGGGUUGUAAAGCUCUUUUGGCGGGGACGAUGAUGACGGUACCCGCAGAAUAAGCCCCGGCUAACUUCGUG